rnacentral:rRNA from 1 species
CCUACGGGUGGGCAGCAGUGGGGAAUAUUGGACAAUGGGGGGAACCCUGAUCCAGCCAUGCCGCGUGUGUGAAGAAGGCCCUCGGGUUGUAAAGCACUUUCAGUGAGGAAGAACGCCUGGUGGUUAAUACCCAUCAGGAAAGACAUCACUCACAGAAGAAGCACCGGCUAACUCCGUGCCAGCAGCCGCGGUAAUACGGAGGGUGCGAGCGUUAAUCGGAAUUACUGGGCGUAAAGCGCGCGUAGGUGGCUUGAUAAGCCGGUUGUGAAAGCCCCGGGCUCAACCUGGGAACGGCAUCCGGAACUGUCAAGCUAGAGUGCAGGAGAGGAAGGUAGAAUUCCCGGUGUAGCGGUGAAAUGCGUAGAGAUCGGGAGGAAUACCAGUGGCGAAGGCGGCCUUCUGGACUGACACUGACACUGAGGUGCGAAAGCGUGGGUAGCAAACAGGAUUAGAUACCCCUGUGUC